UUCUUCUGUUAGUUUUAUUAUCAAAACUUUGUAUGGUUUAUAGCUUAUAUUGAGCAUACCAUUUUCCUUAAAUGAUGGAUUAACUUGCUGCCUGAAUGAAUCCAUUUGUCCAACAUCUGGGAAAGUUUACAUACCCUGUGGAGUAAUGAUGCAUUUUUUAUUUAUUCACUCUUUAAGCCUGAAACUCUGGACAGCUACAAUGAUAAAAGUAUUAUAUAAAUAUUUUUAAUGUACAUGUAAUCUAAACAAAAAAUGAUUUUUUUUUCAUUAAUUUAGAAAUUGUAGAAAAUUACAACCAUAGAUCUGAAGUUGGGCUUUUAUGUUUUCCACACAAUGUUACGGAUAUUUUUUUUAAAAUUGUGUAGCAUAUUUGUAUGUCAGAAUACAUCAUUGUUUGUUUAGGCCUAGUCACUAGUGAAUCAUUGACUGAAACAAUGAAAACAUCUCAUUCAAUUUAGUUUAAAUUUGUGUUACUGAUGAUCUCCGUUAUUACACAUAUUGUCUCAAAGAAAAUGAGCUAAUUGACAGGAACUCAGUACAUAUUUAGUGCAAUUAAUUUUUAAUAAUUCUAAAAAGUGUGCAACUUAGUAUUGGGGGGGGGGGGUUGUUACACACAAGGCAGUGCAUAUUUACAGUUUUUCACUGACUGUACUAAUGCAUUUUAAUGAACAUGAACACACUCGCUUUAUUUUAUGUUAACAAAAGCAUGUCUACAUAUUGUAGAUCUACACAU